AAGUCGAGGGGAAACGACAUCGAAAGCUUGCUUUUGAUGGGCGUCGACCGGCGCACGGGUGAGUAACGCGUAUCCAACCUGCCCACCACUUGGGGAUAACCUUGCGAAAGUAAGACUAAUACCCAAUGAUAUCCCACGAAGGCAUCGGAAUGGGAUUAAAGAUUUAUCGGUGAUGGAUGGGGAUGCGUCUGAUUAGCUUGUUGGCGGGUAACGGCCCACCAAACCUUCGAUGGAUAGGGGUUCUGAGAGGAAGGUCCCCACAUUGGAACUGAGACACGGUCCAAACUCC
rnacentral:rRNA from 1 species